rnacentral:tRNA from 1 species
GGAGGGAUGGCAGAGCGGCCGAUUGCACCGGUCUUGAAAACCGGAGUCGGGGCAACCCGACCGUGGGUUCGAAUCCCACUCCCUCCG